CCGUGACUCACAAAUCUUUCCUUAACGUUCCUUUCGCCUCCGGAUCGAAGACUUUGAACGCGUUGAGGAUGGUCUCCUCCGGGUCGGCACCUGAAGACGAACAGAUGAAAAGUUCAAAGAAAGGUGUUUGUUUAUGGCGGAGGAAUAUGUCAUUGUCCCCCGCGGUGCUAAAAAUAUGACCCGUGAGGAUAUUAUUUUCUACCUGAGACUGAUUUUCAUAUCGUCUGGAUGCUCCUGCACACUGAGGCUGGUGCACGGUGACCGGGAGGGUGCAACGUGGACUAAAACCGUUGGUUUAGAUGGAUACCUUCACUCAUUGAUAAAGGUAUAAUUAAUGGAGGAAAUCACACAGUGUUCAUCUGCACAUAACCUUGCUUCUAACACUGUGGUGUCAGCAGGGGGAGCACCUGGCACCAGUGUUGAAGCACUACAGCAGCCGGACCAGAGGAGUGACUUCUUUUAUGCAGACAAAGAGCAGCAUCGUGCUUUAUUAAGUUAAACAAAGUAAAACACCUGACAGUUUAUAUCUGCUUCCAAUGUUUUCUCUCAUUAUAGUUAUGAAGAUACAUUUCAAUUUCAUAAAGAAAAUUUGGUUUUACUUCAA